rnacentral:rRNA from 1 species
CAGUCGCCGCGGUAAUACGAAGGGUGCAAGCGUUGCUCGGAAUUACUGGGCGUAAAGGGCGCGUAGGCGGACAGUUCAGUCGGGGGUGAAAGCCCGGGGCUCAACCUCGGAAUUGCCUUCGAUACUGGCUGCCUUGAGUAUGAGAGAGGUGUGUGGAACUCCGAGUGUAGAGGUGAAAUUCGUAGAUAUUCGGAAGAACACCAGUGGCGAAGGCGACACACUGGCUCAUUACUGACGCUGAGGCGCGAAAGCGUGGGGAGCAAACAGGAUUAGAUACCCGAGUAGUCCCUGUCUCUUAUAC